GCAACUGCUGGAGAAAUGGAAUCAUUUGUACUCAGUGAAGGGAAAAAGAAGAAGAAAAAAAAAAAAAAAAAGAGAAAAAGCUUUUGAAAGGGAGAUCUGUGACUGAAGCUCUCCAGAACUGUUUAACCUGUUGGGGAUAUUUAGCAGAUGAAUUCUGACCCACGUUCUCCACUUUGCUGUACCCUGUGACAGAGCGACGCAGCAUCUGCCACUUGUGUUCCUCUCCAGACACGCUCACAAUGCCGGAGGAAACGGGGGAGAAAAUUAUGCAAAUUGCUCUGAGCAGAUUACUUUGACCAGCUGCUCUUCUUCCUCCUCAAUCAAAGGUCUGCCUGGGAGAGCCAAUCUAGAUUAUAUAUGUCAGUCGCACGCUCCGAGGCUGAGCCGCUGCCUCGCCGUCCCUUUUUCCCAAACAGGGGCGGCUCUGACAGCGAGGUGCUGAGGACCCACCAAACAGGCACAGAGUACCCAGGCCUGGAGUUGCUUUGCUGACCUGCAGUCUGGAGUGUGUGAAAAUGUUUAUAAAAAGGAGACAGUGACAAAUAAAGCCCACUGCAGGUUUGCCCUGUUAUUUCUGGAUUGUAGGUCCUGCCUCAGUGUGAGCUGACUGAGGAGUCUGUGGGACUUGCUGCUCUGUCUAAUUUCUGCUUGCUGCCAGAUUAACAAGGAAAGGAAAAAUCCAACCAGCAUGGUAGCUCAAAAAGUUCAGCAAAAUGAAUUCUGUCACAUCAACAUCUCUAAGAAAGGCAGGAGAGCAGAGGCUGCUGCUGAGAGCCCAUCAGGAAAGGCUGGUCCUGAGCAAGCCUGGGAGAUGGAUGUUACUGAAGAGCCACAGAUCAAAACAAUUAAUAAUUGGCAAUCCAGCCUAGUGGCUAAUGAGUUCUGUAUGGAACAGCUACCCCCUCACCUGAAGAAAGAAGUUUCUUUCCAGGUCUGGACUGGCCUGGACUGUUUCUGCAAAUGAUCUGAGGGCAUCUUGGAUGCACUAAUGCCAUCGGAAAUUUGAAAUCUGUAAGAUGCACCAGCUGAAGCUAAAGCUGGAAUUGUGGAUGCAGGUUUUCCUGGCCUGCAGAGUGAGCUGGUUUCACAGGAGCAUCAUCAGGGGAGAAGAAGUAGAGAGAGGACCUGUCUGAUCUUAACCACUCCUAAGGGCCACCUUGGUGCUUCUGAGCAAGUUCUCAAAUGAAUUACAGCGUGACACAUCAAGGUCAGACACCCUGU